CGGGGAAAAUUAGUUUAACAUUUGGUCACGGUCAAAGCCGAGGCUAUCAAGUAUCAACCCAGGCUCCCGGCUCUGUCUCUCCCCACGCGCAUCCUUACUCGACGCUCUCUCUCCCGUACUACUCCCUUUCUCUCUCAAAACAAAGUAGCAACGCCGGAUGCAGCCGGCUCGAUCUACCACGCCCGGCCACCUCCGGCGCCAUAGUUGGCAUCCACAGAACCCCCUCAUCCUCCCCUACUCGUUCCCCACACUCAUCGCUACCGCCGCCGCCUGGAACGACCUCGCCACCAAACCCCAGCGCCAUCGUCCUCGGUUCCGGCAGGCUCGCCGCCGUCCCCGACAACGACGACUCCUACCUCCCUCCUUCCGCUCUCCAUCUACGCCGCCUCGUCCAACAAGGCACACGGCCAUGCCCCACAGUCAUGCCCUGUCAGGGGGCGGCCAUCACCGGCCGUACGGCUCGACGGACGACAGCCAUGGUCGACGUCGACGCCACCAGGGCCGGACCGAGAUCGCGGCCGAGGCAGCGCUACGGCAAGCGCGGUACCAGCGACAAUCUCCUACUGCUAAUCCUCCUCCGUGACUAAGUAAUCAGAGCUUGCACACACGCACACAGAGACUCUACAAGAUUAGAGUAAAAGCAACAUCAAGUGGCAUUGCUACUGCUGUACCUGAUCAAGCAGAGAUGCCCAACACAGGAAUGACUGGGUGAGGAGAUCAGAUGUGGUGGAGAAAGGGAUGGUCGGAGAGAGUGGAGUGUUUGGUCGAAAAUGCUGAAUAGUGAAAUGGACAGUCUAUUUAUAGUAGGGAGAGGCUAGGUCGGUUUAGCACAAUUUGUGCCAGGUGGGCUGCAUGCACAGCUUUGAUGUACAUGCGUGUGUACACUUGUAUCUUUUCUAGCUGUAAUUUUUACAAGUGGAUGAAAGUGAGCUGUUUGUGAGUUGGCUAUUACCUUGCCACUAAGAAAGUGUGGGCAGGGACUUAAUUGUAAAUUUCGAAAUUUCUAUUAGGGGCUGAAAAGUUAACCUGAUGUAUAUGAACUUGUAAGCAAAUAAUGCAAGGACUUUGGUGAUUGAAUUUUUUUU